AGCUAAGUUUGUUAUUGGUAUGAGCUUUCAUGUGCAUGCACACUUAUCUGAAGAAGUGUGCAUGCACACGAAAGCUCAUACCAAUAACAAACUUAGUUGG